ACUCCUGCGGGAGGCAGCAGUGGGGAAUAUUGGACAAUGGGCGCAAGCCUGAUCCAGCCAUGCCGCGUGAGUGAUGAAGGCCCUAGGGUUGUAAAGCUCUUUCACCGGAGAAGAUAAUGACGGUAUCCGGAGAAGAAGCCCCGGCUAACUUCGUGCCAGCAGCCGCGGUAAUACGAAGGGGGCUAGCGUUGUUCGGAAUUACUGGGCGUAAAGCGCACGUAGGCGGAUCGAUCAGUCAGGGGUGAAAUCCCAGGGCUCAACCCUGGAACUGCCUUUGAUACUGUCGAUCUGGAGUAUGGAAGAGGUGAGUGGAAUUCCGAGUGUAGAGGUGAAAUUCGUAGAUAUUCGGAGGAACACCAGUGGCGAAGGCGGCUCACUGGUCCAUUACUGACGCUGAGGUGCGAAAGCGUGGGGAGCAAACAGGAUUAGAAACCCCGGUAGUCCCA
rnacentral:rRNA from 1 species